rnacentral:rRNA from 1 species
UACGGAGGGUGCAAGCGUUAUCCGGAAUCACUGGGUUUAAAGGGUGCGUAGGCGGCGCCGCAAGUCAGUCGUGAAAUCGCUGGGCUCAACCCAUGCAAUUGCGAUUGAUACUGCGGUGCUUGAAUCAGGUUGAGGUUGGCGGAAUGUGGCAUGUAGCGGUGAAAUGCAUAGAUAUGCCAUAGAACACCGAUUGCGAAGGCAGCUGGCUGGGCCUUGAUUGACGCUGAGGCACGAAAGCGUGGGGAGCAAACAGG